GCGGACAUGGCGGAAUCGGUAGACGCAACGGACUUAAAAUCCGUUUCCCAUACGGGAGUGAGGGUUCGACCCCCUCUGUCCGCACCA
rnacentral:tRNA from 1 species